rnacentral:lncRNA from 1 species
AAAUUUAGGGUUUUGAAAAAAAAAAGAUGGAGAAACCUAAGAGAAAAGGCAACCGAAAAAGAAGAAAGCAAUUGAAACUUACGUCGUCCUUUCCUAAAGAUCUAACCUCAGAAAUACUCUUAAGGCUGAAAACUCCGUGCCAUUUGCCACUCUUUGUACAACUUUUCAGCCGAUACUUCUAUCUGGUAUAAAAUAUGCAAAAUAAGUCUACAAAGCCACAAUAUUUUUGUUCUAUUAUUUUAAGCAUAAUGGAAAAACUUAUUACAGUAAAACCUCUAUAAAUUAAUAUUCGAUAAAUUAAUAAUUUUUACGAUAGCAAGGCUCGAACCUUUGACCAACCACAUCUAUACUAACUACAUAACCAUUAGGCCAUUAACACUUAAUUAGUUUGAAUGAACAACACAUUAAUAUGUAUUGUUUCGUAUGUCGUAUUCAAUAAUAGAUAAACCAAAUUUGGGAAAAAUGUCAUAAAAAUCCCGAACUUUCAAAUUUGGGACGAUUUAAUCCCGAACUUUAAAGAAGUUAUUUUAAUCACAAAGUUUUGUUGACUUUUCCGUAAAAUAGCUAAGUUUUGUUGACUUAGCCGAUUUAAACACGACGUCUAGUUUCUCUUAAAAUUGCAAAGACAUGGUUAACUAUCCGUGAGUUGCUUCCAGUUUAGACCACAAAACGACGUUGUUUAACAAACUGAAGAAACUAAAUCUCAAAAUCGAUUCAUAAUUCACAAAUCUAACUCCCUAGCCCUAAAAAAAUCCACAACUUCUCUUUACUUUUUGUUGAAUUGUUGCCAUAGCGCGGAUCCAUAGAGGAAGAAAACGACUUCCAACGUCGUUUUGUCGUCUAAGAAACAUGGUCAUCUAGGCUAAACAGAAGCAGCCUAAUUUUAUUUGGUCGUCGUUUACCCAAAUCAAUUGUCUAAACAUAUUUUAUUAAAUCACAAGCCUAAUUUAAUUAAA